UACGUAGGGAGCAAGCGUUGUCCGGAAUCAUUGGGCGUAAAGCGCGCGUAGGUGGCCUCAUAAGUCCGCUGUGAAAGUCAAAAGGCUCAACCUUUGAAAGCCGGUCGGAUACUGUGAGGCUAGAGUACGGAAGAGGCGAGUGGAAUUCCUGGUGUAGCGGUGGAAUGCGCAGAUAUCAGGAGGAACACCAAUAGCGAAGGCAGCUCGCUGGGACGUUACUGACACUGAGGCGCGAAAGCGUGGGGAGCGAACAGG
rnacentral:rRNA from 1 species